CCAAGUAUCAGCAAUACUGCUCCCCGCCGCAGGAGGUGGGAGCAAGGGGAGGGAUAAUUGCUGGGGAUCUGGGGAGCCCUGGGAAGACAGCCCCCGUAUAAGGUUUGGAGCAUUCUAGGUGGGAAUCCAAAGAGCAGGUCUAAACCUUCUUCCCACCACUGGGUCAGUAACAACUCUGGGCAGUGUGUUUGGCUUCUCCCAGGCUGGCUCAGCUGCAAAUGGGAGGUAUCUUCCCUGUUCUCUUCUGGGUCCGAGGCCAGUUGGAAGGACUGGAUGAGCUACAUAUAAAAGGGUACUGUGAGCUUUGAAUUACCUCACAAAGGUGUGGGAUGACCUCUUCUGCUCUCUGAAGUGUCAAAGUCCCCCAGAACAAAGUGACAGAGAACAGAAAAGUCCUGCGCCCUGACAUAUGGGUCCACAGCUUAUGGAGGGAGAAACUGCCGUCUUCCGACAGCUGUCUCUAGAGGGCAUCAGAACCCAGCACAGGGAGUUAUCUUCAGCACCAAGCAGUCUGCGACUGAUAUAGGAAGUGGCCUUUUCACAGAUGCACCCGAAACCCAGCUGCAGUGAGUAAUUUCACAAAUCCAGUAUCACACCAUCCGCUGGGGCUUGACAAGGGCAGAAAGCCUUUGAAGAGUACUGGGAUUACUGGCAUGCACCACCAGGCAUGAGGCAAUCUGAAAUUUUAACACCUUAUUUACUCGAUGGCAUCAGAAAAUAUGUUUGUCCAAAUCAGGGAAUUUUUCAGACAGCUGACAAAACUAUCAGUACCUUGACCCCGGAGUCCCAGUGGUAGAGAACUGAAGACAUCAUUGCUAAAAGCCCUUGUCAAUCGAAGAUGAGAAGGGAAAAGAAUCAGUGCAUAAUGCUUUGCACAAACACAAUUUGGAAGCCACUUACCAGAAAUGCCAUCUACUGAAAACAAAGAUAAUUCUAUGGGGCAAGACUGAAGCUUUAUGUAUGUGAUGACACAUCACUGCAUCUUUAUGGAUUCCAAAAGUAAGGUGUGAGAGCUACCCCUCUCCUGGCCUUCAUGAGAUACAGACAUGACAACAUCAAACUCUUCCCUUUACUCUGCCUCUCCAAUACAUGUGAGUAAUCAAAAUUCUCUGGCCUUAAAGAUGUGGGGAUCUGGCUACAGUAGGAGCAGGUGAGUCAUCCUCUACUUCGAUGGUCCCUUCUGGGUUUCAUGUGUGUUGGGGCCUGCCUCUCCUGCACAAGAUGUGACUAAUAGAAAGAUGAGGGAUGGCCCUUUUUAUAGGAAUAAACUGUACCAGUAGCUUACACACAGAUUGCCUUUCAAUCUGUGUUUUUACCUUUGAGGGAAACUCAAAGAAGAGACAUCUUGUAUGAGACUUACGCACCAUGUUGUUUCUUCAAGCUCGUAUUUUAGUUGUGACUCAGGGACAGGAUCACGAGACGUACUGACAAAUGAAAACCAAGGCUGCAGCCGCUGGUCCACUGGAAUACUUACUCCCUCGUC